rnacentral:pre_miRNA from 2 species
GCUGGAUUCGGGGCCGAUACACGGUCUGAGGGGUUUACGAGUCUCACAGUGAACCGGUCUCUUUUUCAGUU